rnacentral:rRNA from 1 species
ACUGUGGGAGUGCGCUGGGAACUGCUUGGCUGGAGUUCAGGAGGGGAAUCUGGAAUUCCUGGUGUAGGGGUGAAAUCUGUAGAUAUCAGGAAGAACACCUGUGGCGAAGGCGAGAUUCUGGCCAUGAACUGACGCUGAGGCGCGAAAGCGUGGGGAGCGAACAGGAUUAGAUACCCUGGUAGUCCACGCUGUAAACGAUGUGCACUAGGUGUUGGCUGUUGUAACGGUCAGUGCCGAAGCAAACGCGAUAAGUGCACCGCCUGGGGAGUAUGCUCGCAAGGGUGAAACUCAAAGGAAUUGACGGGGGCCCGCACAAGCGGUGGAGCAUGUGGUUUAAUUCGAUGAUACGCGAGGAACCUUACCAGGGCUUGACAUAUGCAUGACGGUCGUAGAGAUACGGCUUCCCUUCGGGGCGUGCAUACAGGUGCUGCAUGGUUGUCGUCAGCUCGUGCUGUGAGGUGUUGGGUUAAGUCCCGCAACGAGCGCAACCCCUGCUGUCUGUUACCAGCACGUAAUGGUGGGGACUCAGACGGUACUGCCGGUGACAAACCGGAGGAAGGUGGGGAUGACGUCAAAUCAUCAUGGCCCUUAUGUCCUGGGCUACACACGUGCUACAAUGGUCGGUACAGAGCGAGGCAAAACCGCGAGGUGGAGCAAAUCGCAGAAAGCCGGUCUCAGUACGGAUUGGAGUCUGAAACCCGACUUCAUGAAGUUGGAAUCGCUAGUAAUCGCGCAUCAGCAUGGCGCGGUGAUACGUUCCCGGGCCUUGUACACACCGCCCGUCACACCACCCGAGUUGGGGGUACCCGAAGUCGCUCGUCUAACCGGUUACGGAGGACGGCGCCGAAGUAUGCCUGUAAGGGGGGUGAAGU